ACUCCUACGGGAGGCAGCAGUAAGGAAUAUUGGUCAAUGGAGGGAACUCUGAACCAGCCAUGCCGCGUGCAGGAAGACAGCCCUCUGGGUCGUAAACUGCUUUUAUUCGGGAAUAAACCUUUCUACGUGUAGGAAGCUGAAUGUACCGAAGGAAUAAGGAUCGGCUAACUCCGUGCCAGCAGCCGCGGUAAUACGGAGGAUCCAAGCGUUAUCCGGUAUUUAUUGGGUUUAAAGGGUGCGUAGGCGGCUUAUUAAGUCAGGGGUGAAAGACGGUGGCUCAACCAUCGCAGUGCCCUUGAUACUGAUGAGCUUGAAUACACUAGAGGUAGGCGGAAUGUGACAAGUAGCGGUGAAAUGCAUAGAUAUGUCACAGAACACCGAUUGCGAAGGCAGCUUACUAUGGUGUUAUUGACGCUGAGGCACGAAAGCGUGGGGAUCAAACAGGAUUAGAUACCCCUGGUAGCGACUGA
rnacentral:rRNA from 1 species